AUUGAUGGAUUCCACUUGGAGACAUAGAUCAUUGCCGCUUGUAAUUGGGUGAAGGGUGGAGCGAUGCUCGAGGGGUAGAGGAUGUAGGUUAGGAUUUCAAAAAAGAGCGGAAAGGAGUGGGGGUAGCACUUUUAUUUUUUCUUCUUUGAGCUGAGGUGGCAGAAUGGCCACAUGGUGAAAAUGGACAAGUCUGCUAUAUCAUUGAAGUGGU
rnacentral:lncRNA from 1 species